CUUUUAUUGUACAUCGAAUCGUAUAACACUUUUACGUCGAUUUGGCGUUCGCUUCCAGUACGCGUUUCCGAGCUCUUUAGGAGAUGUACGAGAAUAGCUUGAUUUUAAUCUCCGUCGUUUCAUAAUAUUAUCAUAUACGUCACUCAUUAUUAAGAAGCCCCAAGCUACUUCGCGUUUCCCGCGAUCUCGUGGCGUUUGUAUGCGUAACAAUAUUCUGUGAAGUACAUCGUUCGUGAUAGUAGUGACGCAGUCUAAACAGAUGAUCAAAGUGCAGCUUUAAUCACGUGAAUUAUAGUUCUCUCUGCAUCGCGUCGUGCGCAUUUCCAGCCGCCGAUAGCAUUGCCUUGUAUACGUGACUCGAGCUGCUGCACUGUCGUGAUACAUAAGGCGUACCUAAACACAAUUGUAUCUGAAUUGAAGAAAAUUAGCAGGAAACUAACAAAAAUCUACAACAGCUACAGAAAAAGCUACAGAAUUUGAUGAAGGAUCGAAUACGUUUUUUGGAUGAUUUUUGGAUUUGAAUAUUUUCGGAGCGGUGACAAAAUGUUCAAAGGCACGCGAGGCGUAGAUUGUGUGAAAAUUUAUUUGAAAUCUCGUAAACAGUCGGGUUUUGUAGAAAACCAGUUAGGAGUGCGUCGCAAAACUCUGUUCUCUCGUCGCGAGAGACCUUCAAAGACGUUUCACACAUUUAGUAUUUUCUUGCUUGUCCUGAUUGAUAUCGUUUUAUUGGUUUUACUCGGACGCAGUUUCGCGCGCGAGAAAAAGCAACUCCUUGUCCUCGUGUACGAACAAAACUGAUACGUCGAUUUUCGGAUGCUAGCGCUAAUUUCCUCGGAGAUCGAGUAGCAUAAAAGUUUGCAUCUAUAUUGGCAGGUAUGUUCGGAUUAUCUCAAAACUAGGACAUUUAAUCCGAUAUCUGAUUCAUCGAGUUCCCCGCCCCCUCUCCCCUGGGUUUCGUCGAUCUCAAAAUGAACGGUAGUCAUUGUUAAAAAAAUAAUUUGCCGCAUUACAAAAAAACUGAACUGACCAGUCACAGGUGGCUGUCAGCUCCAAUUUUAUGCUUGGGAUUUCAAUGCUUCCAACCGUUAUUCGUUGUACUAAAAUUAGAAUCUUAAUUAUGCAGGUAAAUAUUUCACAAUGAACGAAUGAAGAUGUAACUAUUUAGUGAAUAUAUCUCUAUGUGUUGACUUUAUUUAUCAUCUAUUAAUCCAAUUUAAUUUUGCUUGACAUCGAAUACUCGGAUAUUGGUAUUUUUCUUGGUUUAUUUUUCCUUAGAACUAUAAUUUUGAUUGAAGAGGCAUAGAAUACCUCAUAAAAUGCUCUGUCUUUUUAUAUUGGAAUGUAGGUGAAAUAUAAUAAAAUAUAGUGAAAUAAAAUAUAUAAAUAAAGUAUAAUAAAACAUACUACACAGGCAAAAUAUAAUAUUGUAUCGUAAGCUAAAUAUAAUACUUUAUAUUAUAUUUAUACUACUAUACUAAUAGAGACUUUGUAUUGUUUAAAAAUCAACCAAUGAAUCUGACUCGGCACGCAUUGAGCGAUUUAAUUGUACGGUUAAGGUGUACAAUGAAUUGAAAUUGAUUUUGCAUAAUCAAGAUCUCUGUCAAUCAGCUGCGCAGAUCAUUUUUCAGAGGCACGACCGCUCAUUGUUUCGAUGAGUAAAAAGGCUUUCGAGUACAACUACGCGCGUCAACGUAUGGUUUGUAUCUACAACGUAGAUGCCUGCUGGAUGGUCAGAAUUAGAUUCGAACACAACCUACGCCAACCUUCAAAUUUGUGAAGGUGACGCGAAACGAAUGAUGGUACACGUCAGACGCGUCUGGAGGAAAAAAACUCACCGACGGAUUAGGCUUUUUGUAUAGUCUCCAAUUAAAAAUCGACCGACGCGGAACCAUUAUUUUUAUUGCGUCUGGUCAGCGAAGAAUAACGUAUGGCAGUUUGAUUCAAUAUAAAAGUAGAGAAAUAACAUGCUCGUCAGCGAAUAAAUAUCAAUCAUGUUGAUAGCCUCUCGAGCGUGUUACCGUCUAAUUUACGACGCACUAAUAGAAACGCUAUUGGUCACUCGGUUACCUCGCAUCAGUGUUUUAAUUUCGACGCUGCUGUUUUUGAUUAUGGAAGACGAAACAUUUUAAAAAGAGGACUUUCGAAAGCUAUUAAUAUAAAGAUCAUUUCUAAUGCUGUUAACUCACGAAUCAGAAAUAAUAUAGGAUACAUACUUAUUAGUAUAUUUUUAUAUUCUCCAUUUUCUUGAAAAUUUCACAAUUGUACUUUUAUGAUGUACCUAAAAAAAUAAAUCCACGUGGAAAAAUAAUCAUUAAAAUAGGUGACUUUUGCACUCAGUGUACAGAAGUAUCGUAUAAUUAAUUCUAACUUUAUUUUUGAUAAGUCAAUUGUCGAAUUGCAAAUGGCAGAAAUUAGUGGCGCCACUAGAGAACGAUUAUACCAAUGACUGCCAUUUUCAUUAUACUAAUGAUUAUUUUAAUUUAUUUAAUGACAUAAUGUACAUUUGUUUACGUUUUGUUUGUAAAUUAAGAAUUCAUUUUUGUAAUAAAUUGAUUACUGAUGUCGA